rnacentral:misc_RNA from 1 species
ACGGGCACAUAAAAAUGAGUAGCAAAUCAAUGUUGUGAAGUCCCUAGCAAUGUGCAACCAAAAUUCGUCAAAAUGGAGUACAAUUUCCAUUUCUAUUCCCCAUAAAAAUAACAAUUUAAAGUAUAAGAACAUGAGGCAAAAUUGGAAAUUUCAUUCUAAUACCGCUGUAGCACCUAUUGCCUUGAGCUUUUCUAUAAUGGCAUUAGCUUCAUCUUUCGUUACACCCUUUUUCACCACUGCUGGCGCUUUUUCUACCAACUCCUUAGCUUCCUUUAAACCCAAAUCAGUAAAAGACCUAAUUUCCUUAAUCACCUUAAUCUUCGCCGCCGCAUCAAACUUGUCAAGCUUUACAUCAAAGAUGGUUUUUUCUUCCACCUUUGCAUCCGCAGCCG